UACGGGGGGGGGCAAGCGUUGUUCGGAAUUACUGGGCGUAAAGGGCGCGUAGGCGGCCUUCUAAGUCGGACGUGAAAUCCCUCGGCUUAACCGAGGAACUGCGUCCGAUACUGAAAGGCUUGAAUCCGGGAGAGGGAUGCGGAAUUCCAGGUGUAGCGGUGAAAUGCGUAGAUAUCUGGAGGAACACCGGUGGCGAAGGCGGCAUCCUGGACCGGCAUUGACGCUGAGGCGGCGAAAAGCUAGGGGAGCAAACGGG
rnacentral:rRNA from 1 species